GUGCUCGCUUCGGCAGGACAUAUACUAAAACUGGAACGAUACAAAGAAGAUUAGCAUGGCCCCUGUGCAAGGAUGACACACAAAUUCGUGAAGCAUUUCGUAUUUUU
rnacentral:snRNA from 1 species